rnacentral:rRNA from 1 species
GAUGAACGCUGGCGGCGUGCCUAAUACAUGCAAGUCGAGCGAACAGACGAGGAGCUUGCUCCUCUGACGUUAGCGGCGGACGGGUGAGUAACACGUGGAUAACCUACCUAUAAGACUGGGAUAACUUCGGGAAACCGGAUCUAAUACCGGAUAAUAUAUUGAACCGCAUGGUUCAAUAGUUAAAGACGGUUUUGCUGUCACUUAUAGCUGGAUCCGCGCCGCAUUAGCUAGUUGGUAAGGUAACGGCUUACCAAGGCAACGAUGCGUAGCCGACCUGAGAGGGUGAUCGGCCACACUGGAACUGAGACACGGUCCAGACUCCUACGGGAGGCAGCAGUAGGGAAUCUUCCGCAAUGGGCGAAAGCUUGACGGAGCAACGCCGCGUGAGUGAUGAAGGUCUUCGGAUCGUAAAACUCUGUUAUUAGGGAAGAACAAAUGUGUAAGUAAAUAUGCACGUCUUGACGGUACCUAAUCAGAAAGCCACGGCUAACUACGUG